rnacentral:lncRNA from 1 species
UUGGAGAAUCAAUUAGGUUGGAGGCAUCAGUGAGAUAAAAAGAACGGAAAAAUAAUAAGGGCAAAAGAAAAAAUAAUGAAACGGAUACAAUAAAAGAAAGAACUACAAAGGACAAACUAAAUACUUAUUGCAUUCAGUUGUAGCUACGGGUCUUGAAACAAGGCACAAUACCAAAAUAUGAGCAUGAGUGCCAUCUACACUUUUGAGAAGUCAUACAGAAUAUUUACUAAUACUAGCGAAGAAGAUUGGGGCACGUGCCAAAUAUUAACAAUCAUUCUGAAGUAAUAAAGCCGUCAGAAAAAGGUUGUUCGUUUGUAUUGAUUCUAUAUCAAUCUCAAGGCUCUGCUCUUUACAACAACACAACUCACUAUAAUUUCAUUAGUGAGGUCUGGGAUGGUAGAGUAUAUGCAGAUUUUAUCUCUGCCUCGAAAGAAUAGAGAGAUCAUUUUCGAAAGACCUCUAAAAAAAGAAAAGAGAC